GACGAACGCUGGCGGCGUGCUUAACACAUGCAAGUCGAACGGAAAGGCCCUGCUUUUGUGGGGUGCUCGAGUGGCGAACGGGUGAGUAACACGUGAGUAACCUGCCCUUGGCUUUGGGAUAACUUCAGGAAACUGGGGCUAAUACCGGCUAGGAGCUCCUGCUGCAUGGUGGGGGUUGGAAAGUUUCGGCGGUUGGGGAUGGACUCGCGGCUUAUCAGCUUGUUGGUGGGGUAGUGGCUUACCAAGGCUUUGACGGGUAGCCGGCCUGAGAGGUGGACCGGCCACAUUGGGACUGAGAUACGGCCCAGACUCCUACGGGAGGCAGCAGUGGGGAAUAUUGCACAAUGGGCGGAAGCCUGAUGCAGCAACGCCGCGUGCGGGAUGACGGCCUUCGGGUUGUAAACCGCUUUCGCCUGUGACGAAGCGUGAGUGACGGUAAUGGGUAAAGAAGCACCGGCUAACUACGUG
rnacentral:rRNA from 1 species